AACGCGAAGAACCUUACCUGGGCUAGACAACGGCGGACCGUCUCAGAGAUGAGGCUUUCCCGCAAGGGACGGCAGAAUAGGUGCUGCAUGGCUGUCGUCAGCUCGUGUCGUGAGAUGUUGGGUUAAGUCCCGCAACGAGCGCAACCCUUACCCUUAGUUGCUCAUCCGCAAGGAAAGCACCCUAAGGGAACUGCCUGGGAUAACCAGGAGGAAGGUGGGGAUGACGUCAAGUCCUCAUGGCCUUUAUGCCCAGGGCUACACACGUGCUACAAUGGCCGGUACAAACCGUCGCAAACCCGCGAGGGGGAGCCAAUCGGAAAAAACCGGUCUCAGUUCGGAUUGCAGGCUGCAACUCGCCUGCAUGAAGCUGGAAUCGCUAGUAAUCGCGGAUCAGAACGCCGCGGUGAAUACGUUCCCGGGCCUUGUACACACCGUAGUAC
rnacentral:rRNA from 1 species